CCGGCGGUGGCGCAGUGGCUAGCGCAGGCGUUUUGUAAAAUUGCUACCCGGGUUCGACCCCCGCUGGA